AAUAGGCGGCUGCCGGGCUGACGUCAGUGCGGGCAGAGCCUGCCGGCGGCGGCAGUUCCCGGCCAGCGAGCAGAGCCGGCACCGGCAGCAGCCGGGAAGACGCACGGAGCCGGGGCAGAGCCGCCUCCGCCGCCCCCGCCGGUCCGCGCCCGGGGCUGGGGGCUGCGGGAGCCGCCGCUCGGCCAGGGGGCAGCCCUGCCCGCCCCUCCGCCCGCCCCGGGGAGGGGAAUGGCCUCGCCGCCCGCUUCUCCCGGGACCACCGUCCUGCCCUCCGCACGGCAGCAGACUCCUGGCCGCCCUGCCCCGGCCGUGCCCGCACCUUGGAGCGGACGGACGGAAGGACGGACGGACGGAUGGCCGGCAUCCCCGACGGAGGGAUGUUUCUGUCUUUGGUUAUCUAGCUGUAUGAGUGUUGUGGAGCCAUCAUAAAGCUAGAUAACCGAAAGUAGAAAUGACUUCCAGACCUGCUCGCCCAGGGGAAGCGGCCGCACCAGGACCGGCAGUGCAGAGACGGCCCGACUCGCCGCCCUGGGGGCUCCAGACAUGACUGAGAGUUCCUGGAGUGGGAUGCCUUGGGAAGGGCUGGGACGUCUCCACCUGAGCAAGGAGAGAUGCCAGUGAGUGGACAAGGAACUUUUGAAGCCUGUGAGUUCCUUCUUCCAGUUGGCUACCACCUGCCCAGACUUGCCAUCUGACUUCUCCGAGUUUCUCCAGGAGAGUCCCAACCUGCUUCUCCAUUGGCCCCAGAGAGGAGACAGCUUUGUCUUGUGAACACUGUGGAUUUCUGCGUCACUUCGAAACACAGCGGUGCAGCCAUGGGGAGGGAGCCAGGGCAACACAGGGAGCCAAGGGAUCAUCCCACAUCACUCCUGUAUGUUGCCUUCAGUGCCCUCAAUACCCCAGAGCAGGACCAAAGCGCUUAGGCAGAGAGACCUGAGCCAGUCACUGUCUCACCUGGUGAAAUACCAGAUGUGUGAAGUUUGGAGGGAGCUUUUAGCCCCUGGCUUUGCUCAUGGAGCAGAGCUUGGCCCUUGCUGCUCUUCAUCCCUGGUCUGUGGAGCUGUGGGAGUGCAGCCUUCCCGAAGGCACUGUGCUUGGGGCCCAGAGGACCAUGAGCUUUUCCAGGCCAGCCAGCCCUUCUGCUGUUGUACUGCACCCUCUCUGUUCCUGUAAGAGAAAUGUACUGCCUGUAAUUCUCUCCCAUUGAAAUCCUCCCAACCCUAUGCACUGUUGAAAAUAAACUCACUCUUUUGCAAAA